UGGUUGUGGACUCAAAGAGACGCACUGUGAAGUUGUGGCCUCAGCUCUGAAGUCCAACCCGUCACAUCUGACACAUCUGGACCUGAGUAACAACAUCCUGCAGGACUCAUCAGUGAAGGUUCUGUGUGCUGGACUGGAGAGUCCUCACUGUCGACUGGAGACUCUGAGAUUGCGUUUCUGCAGUUUGUCAGAGAUCAGCUGUGAUUCUCUGGUCUCAGUUCUGAAGUCCAACCCGUCACAUCUGACACAACUGGACCUGAGCUGGAACAAGCUGCAGGAUUCAGGAGUGAAGCAUCUGUGUGGUUUUCUGGAGAGUCGUCACUGUCGACUGGAGACUCUGAGAUUGAGUGGCUGCAGUUUGUCAGCGAUCAGCUGUGAUUCUCUGGUCUCAGCUCUGAAGUCCAACCCAUCACAUCUGACACAGCUGGACCUGAGCUACAACGACCUGCAGGAUUUAUCAGUGAAGCAUCUACUUGACCUGGUGCAGAGUCCAGACUGUGGACUGCAGACUCUGAGCUGGAGAUGAUCCAGAUGUAGAAGCAGCAGCAGUGUGUGUGGACGUUCUGACUGGUCCAUGUUACUGGGAGCAGAGCUUCAUCCACAACUGAAUGACAGAGGAACCAUAAGCAGUGGAGACGACUCUCAGUGUGAACUGAUCUGAGAGCAGCUGCUCUGUGUCCAGUCCACCAGGAUCAUGUGGGAAAUGAAGUGUGUGGUGCAGUAGUUAGACAUCAAGGACAGUGUUGACUGUAAUUCUUUCUCAGGCUCCUCUUGAGGUUAGUGACUGAGGACUUACUACCAGCUGGAGCUGUGUUGUUUUCUAACCAUCCUGGGCUCAAAGAGCUACAGGACAACAAAUGGGCUUUAGCUUCUAGAACCAUUGGCCCAAUCAGAUCAGAGAGACCAGACUGACGGCUCUGCUUUUCUAAUGGAAACCCUGGUCAGAGAACGUUGGCUAUGUCUCUAUCAGAGACCAUGGAUCCGUCUGCAGGUUCACUACAUCCAUGUUCACCACAGUCAGUGAAUGCAGCUGCAUUCCACAGACCACAGUCUCCUCCCACCCUUCACUAAUAUGGUACAGCACCAUCUUAGAUGACCACCACCUGAAAAAUAUUGCUUAGCGCCUCUUCAGGAAGACACAUUAUUUGUUGUCCCAGGGCUUAGACGUUGGGUCAGGGUGACUCCUGUCUGAUGACUCUCACAUGUCUCAUGUCUAAUGAAGCUAAUGAGAAGUUUCUUCCCAGAGCCCUCUUUUGAUCUGGGCCACGAUUUGCCUUUGUGGUAUUAACACUGACCGUUUGACAUCCUCCCCAAGGCUCUGGCAACGCGGGUCCUGCCUGGGGCCACACAGGCUCCUGGUCGUUGGUAGGUUCACAUCUGGGUGAGUAGAUGUAUGUGGGUAUGAGGCAGUCUGUGCAUGAGGUGUUGGUGGUAUGUGGGUGGUCCAUUUUCAGCUCAGGGCGCAUGGUCCUGCUGCCUUCUCUUCUACUAUCCUGCCCAACGCCUCCCUUAUGUUACAGUCAGGGGCUUUGCUUGAUGCCUGCAGGGCUGCAGCGGGCUGCACGAUCUCUGAUCUCUGGACUAGUCCUUUUAUUGGUUCUGCUUAAUGUGGGAUGGGCCAGAGCUGGCUCACCAGCAGCCUGGUCUGGACCCAGGUGUUCUCUUCAUGGCUGCAGUGGGUGUUUGAUAGCUUGACUAAUAGUAUGAUCCCAUUCACUUGUGCUUCUUCCCAGCAGGCACACAACCGACUUUCAAGGAUAAAAUGUGGUUGAAAUAAUGUCAGUUAUUGUUGUGACACCAUUAAUGUAAUGUUGAAACAACAUUUAAUGCUAAUGCUUGUGAAAAGGUCUAUACAAAUCAACAUUAAAAUAAGAUUUGUAAAUAUAAGGUUGACCGUAAGAUGCUGAAUAACAUUGCCCUGUCAAUGUUAAUUGACAGGGUAAAAAUCAAAACAAGAUCUAAUCGUCAUUCAACCCAAAAAUCACCAAAUCAAAACUAAGAUUCAAUGGUAAAAAGCCUGCUGGGUUUGUUUGAAUUUUUAAAAAUCCUCUCCAUAACAAGUCAGUGUGUAACGCCCAAUGAAAGUUAUUCAGACUCAAAAUCCAUUUCGCAAUAAAUUUGUCAAUCUGCAAUUUUGUGAAUCUGCAAUUUUAUUUAUUUAAUUUCUACAAUGUUCUGUCAAAAAAUAACAAAUUUUAAUUUCUGUGUUCUGUUUGGAGUCUUGUUUGGGUUUAAACUUGACUGUGGAAUAUUUUGAAAUGUUGUGAAAAAAGUAACGUAGAAAAAAGUAACAGGAUUCGAUCCCGCGGUCACUGCAGCAAAAGCUCACCCCAUAAACUGACAUCAUGCAACAGAUAUGACAUAAUUCCAAUCACCGCUGUGAUUUGGUGUUAUGUUGAGCGGUUCUACGUAACGUAACUCCUGGUAGACAGACACGACACCGGUGACCCAGCAGCACACAGAAAAGCCUCAGCGGCGCUUGGCAGCUACAACGCCGGCUCCACUGUUUGUUUGCUGGAGUUGCAGUAGUGGGCUCUGAUUGGUUAGGACAGUUAAACCUCGGCCAAUCAAGUUUGAACAACGCUUUCUAAUUUUGACACUCUUAGAGCUCAUUUACAAAUCAUGCAAUGCAUUCUGGCUGUCUACUGUCCCAUUUAAAUUAAGACUCCUCUCAAGCACGAGAAAAAGAAAUGCAAUUGAUUAGGUCUUUAUUUAAAACUUUAAAUUAAUGAAACUAGGUAUUGAAUCAACACUUGAGACUUUGAAGGUAGAAGGAGGAGAAGAGGAGCAGCCUGACAGCCUGGGCAACUCAAUGUACUGUACUGAAUAGAGGGGAUUGAACCCACAACCUGGGAGACAGGAGCACAGUGCACUAACCACUUUGCUGGGGAAUAUUUACAUUUGCAAAGUACAUUUUCAAAUUGGAUGACCAAAUAGCAUGUGGAGUUGUCAAUUGCAAAAUGCAUUGCCAUUUGAAUAAACACUACAAAAAAACAUAACAAUACAAAAUGCAGUUUAUUUAUUGUUUAUUUGAACAUUUAACUAUUUAAACUGGGUAUUGAAUUGCCACUUUUAAUAUUGAAUUGCCAAAUGCAAAAUGCAUUUACAAAUUAAAUGACAAUAUUGCUUAUUGAAUUGCCAGUUGACAAAUGUAUUGCAAAUUUGAUUUUGAGUCUGAAAAAGUGGUAAAAGGUCUGGACUUGUAUGGUUCUGUUCUGCUGGUUACACCACUGUCCAUUAUUGGACCAAAGACUUCAGGGGAAACUUAGGGGUUCCAGGUUCAGUAUCUUACCCAAGAACCCUUUGACAUAUUCUAUAUGAUUAUUAAUGACUAUUUUUAGAUGUGCAUAUACAGAGAAAACAGAUGUAACAGCCUUUUUUAAUAAGAAUGUCUUUCAUUUAUACUGAACCCACCAUUUUCUAAAUAAAUUUACAUUAUCUCCUUAUCUGUCUUAUGUUUUUUUUGAGACGUCAUGAUUUUAGACAGUUGUUUUAUACAGUACAGGAUGUGAGGUAUGUGAAGGGGGAGUUUAUUGAAUGAUAGUGGUUGUGUGUGUGUGUGUCAGUUAAGGCAGUGUAAAAAAAAUACUUGAAGUUAAGACUGUUUUUAUGAUUCAGACUUGUUGCUGUCUAGGUUAACAUCAUAGGAAGUACAGAAUAACCUGGAAGUUACGAUUCAGUAUUUAAACAUAAGUAAAAGCGAUCCUUUAGCAAAGUGUUUAAAUUUCCUUGGGUUCUUGAGCUGACGGGGCUUCGGUUGGCGUAACCUUUAAAGAGAAUGAUUCAUAAUAAAAACAUUAAAAACAAAUAAUCACUGAGAAAUAUCAGAUGAGCCAGAAAUAAAGGCAAGGUGUUGGCGGACAGUCGCCAACGUGAGCAAUUCAUGAUGAAAAAUCCCAACGGAAGAAAGAAAGGUGAGGCAGACGAUGCUGUGAAUGGAGACAUAUGGGGAGAUUUAGACUUAGCUGGAAGUGAUAGUAUGUCAAAGAAGUGAUAGAAUAAAGGAGAAAAGAAAAGAGGAUGUUAGUGGCGUUAGAACAAAGAGAUGUAGAGGUAGAGAAGAAGAGGUAAAUGAGAGAGAUGGUCAGGCAAAUUUAAAAUCAUUGCGGUUUGCAGAGAAGAGGGGUAUAGUGCAAAUGAAUCUGGUUAACCGCCUAACAACUGUUUUGAAUAAUCAGAUCCGUAACAUACAUUUGGCACAGGUGUUGAGAAAUGGCAAUUUGUUAAUUAUUUGUAGGGAUGAGGAGCAGAGACAGCAAGCAGGAAGAACGAGAGAAAUAGGAAAGAAUAAAGUGGUGAGCACUAUCUAUGUGGGAAACAGAAACAAAUGGUGUAAAGUGAGUGAAUGGGGGGGGGUCACUUGAUCAGAUCAAUGAUGUAUGAAUGAAAUCUGUUCUGAAUUUGAUGAGGACGUGCUUCACAAUAAAGUCACACUACACUGUAUGUUGUUAGGAAGUAUGUGCCAAAGCCACCGAGAUGCUUCAACUGCCAAAGGUUUGGGCAUAGAGCUGCAAUAUGCAAGAUCAUGAUCAUGGACAGUUGUAAUGGGAAAAUUUUGCCUUGUGCUAUUUCUUAUCCAACACACUCGUCAUGUGCUGGUUAGGUGCAAUACUGAACUGAACAUUCUUACACAAACAAAUAAUCUCUUGUGCCCUGUCGUACAUCAAGUCUAAACAUCUGAUGUUCCAUUUGACUGACUAAUAAUUUAUGAUAUAUGUUUGUCUUUUACACCCGGACUCUGGCUCCAUCCUAUCUGACUCCCCACCAGACCCAAGGCUGUCAAAGCGAAUGCAUCUUGUCUUGGAAGCUCGGUGUUCCUUCCUUUGGAUAACAAGACAUGAUGAUGCAGAAGUGAGAAAGCAAACAUUCUCACUCACAGCGAGAUAAGGUGGCACAAACAAUUCUAUUGCUGCAGAGAGACAUUCCACCAGAGCCAGAGAAAGGGGUUAAAAGGCAGAAGCAACUUGAGGAUCGUGGGCUCUUUGCAUCACACCUUCGUGGUGUGUGCACUGAUCUCCCAGCUGGUUUUUGGUUUGUUGAUGUGCACGAUCAACAUCCAUGCUUUUUAUUUGCUUUCCCCAUUAUUUUUAUUUUCUUUAUUAUUUCAAUAAAUCGCACAAAAGGACAACUCUCUCUCAUCUACUUCUUUAUGGAAAAUUUCCACCUCAGAAUUUGGUGUCUAUGAACAGGAUCCCGCGGCAGGUCGUCUGGACGGUGUGACCAGGGACGAUAGUCCUGAGGACUAGGGUCGCUCAGCCUCCAAACCUCUACAGCUGUUCUGAGUGGGAGGACUGCUCACCCGUCUGGAUUGCCUCCGACGAGAUCCAACGAACACAAAAUCCAACCUCUACUCGGCCCGGUGAGAGAGAUUCUGUUUUGUUGCGACUUAUUAAUGAAAAAAAACAACAAAAAAAAAACGAUUUGGAUUUGGUUUUAAGGUAUUCGGGGUUUACUUGGCUAUGAUCAUUUGGUUUAGGGAAAGUAAGGCAAAUAACAAUUAAUUCUAAAGCAUCCCCUACUAGACUAAAACAUAAAAGAAAACAUAAUUAGGACUAGAGAUGAUAAUAUUUCUAAAACGACUAUUUGGCUGAAAACAUCUAAAAUAUAAUAAUUAGGACAGAACAAUUUUUUUUUAUUUUAAAUUUAAUAUUCGGGUAAAAUUAAUUAGGUCAAAGUCUGCCCUGGUGGCUGAGACGGUGGUUGCUAAGGGUUGGCUCGUGGGACCGAGCUUGUUUUGUCUGUACUGAGGAUACAGACCAGUGUGCAGAUCUGAGCGCAGUCCAAAGGGUGUGGACAAGGAAAUAAAAGACGGCUUCUGAAAUACGGAGCGCGUUUGCAGGGGGAAGUGGUUUUGAGAUAGGAGGGACCCGGGUCUUAGAGGGGCCUGACGGUGAGGGACCACUUCCGAGAACCCUGUCGCUGAUCUGAGCGGUUCCCUUUCUACGGAGACGUCCGUGGAAGAGAAAUUUCGAAAAAAGGUUCCGGCCGGAACACAAAAAAGUCUAAGGCAGAAAACCGCCAGGACUCUGAAAGAUGGGUUCGGGGCGAUCUAAGUCUCCACCACCAGACUGCAGCAUUACAAAAGUAAAAGUAAUUAUAAAAGAAAAAGUAAAUACGGUUAUUAGUGCGUUUCAUGUUUCCAUGAGUGGGAAACUGGUUAUGGGUUCAAAAGGAGAAUCACUUGUGUAAAAGACAUAUGCACCUUAAAAGAAAAGUUAGAUACAAAAGAUGAGAUUUGAAAAAGCAAAACUAUCAAAACAAAAGCCUUAAAAGAAACAAAAGAGUGAUGAGAGUAACAGAAAAAAAAGGAGAUAACAACUCUGGGGAAGAAUUGUUUGCACUCGCCACACACACACACACACACACACACACACACACACACACACACACACACACACACACACACACACACACACACACACACACACACACACCACAUACCACACACACACAUAUCAUGUCAAGAGCAAAUGCUCCCAUUGUUUCUGCUCUCUAUUCUAAUGCAGAACCGAGCGCGAUGAGGGUAAAUCCGGAUCUGGACUCCUUUCCCACCAUCAGCAGAAGAACCGAAGGAGAAGAAGCGCCGACCAACAACCAGAACAGGGUGGAAGCUCUGACACCACAGCAGCUGGAGGACACAGACCACAGCAUGGACGCCUCAGCGACUCCCACAACGUCUGCAGCCAUCACGUUCUGGGCUCAUCAGAUGAACCAGCUACUACAAGCGUGUGUGUCUGACACAGACACCUGCUUAUGACAAUCAGCAAAGGAAAACAAGGACAGAGCAACAGCAGAGAAGACGUGCUCUGACACAGACACUGGUUGAAACAACAGGAGAGGCUUCAGACGUGAUCGGCCCAAUAGAGCUGCAUGUGAGGAUCCAGGAAAGGUCUGUCAUCGAGGAACAACUGUCCCAUUGAAAGGCUUCACCCACUGACGCUCACAUCAGACUGAUGGUUGGGGAAGGAGGAAGGUGACGGUUCCUUUUCACGUGACGUACAAGACGGUACCGCAAACACACACACACACAUUCAUGCACGCAAUGAAGAAACACGCUUACAGCUGAUACACGCUCAAAUUCAAGUUUAUGCUUAUCUGCUCGCAAUGAAGAAUCGCUUUUUGCUUAAAAAAAUGAUUUUCAAAUUAUGACAAACAGCUAAAUGACAACUGCUGCAUGACUUUACAGUCUGAUGGGUUUAAACUAUUUCAAUUUGCAACAUAUUCAGUAAUAAAAUCCUCUAUGUUUCUAAAAAGGAUUUGUGCACACUAUAGGUUUGUCUGGCCAGACUAUAGGAAAACAAAACAAAAACAAAACCAGACUAUAGGAAGACUCAAACUGACUGAAACAGACUAUUAAUGACUAUUAAAGGGAAGACGACUAUUAGAGAGAAGUAAUAAUAAUUACUGUAUGUACCAGACAAUAAAAGAAAAACUUAUUCUUUUACUGUCUUGUGCAACAUCUGACAGCAAGACACCUUGAGAUUUAUUGUUGCUUUCAAACUUGUGCCCAGUUAAAUUUUUAGGAAGAGAUCUCACGUGUAGUUUAGGUAUUUGAUUGAUUUCCACUCCAGACGGAGUGCAGGUUACGUCUACAGACAUUCUAAAUAAUCCCUCUUUUGUUGGUGUUAACUUCAUUUUAGCUGUGCUCUUAUCAUUGGCUGCUGAGGGGGGGCUGUAACUGAGGCCCUCACACAGGCUGCAUGAUUAUGAUUUCACACACACACACACACACACACACACACACACUGACAAACUGACCUCAACUUCCCUCUUUUGGGAUGAACACAGGUCUGCGCUUGCGAUUUCUUUUACUAACGAACAAAAAAUAUUUUUGAUGUUUAUUUUACAGUUCCACACGUCCCUCUGUGAAAACAUGAUGGAGACAGAUGACAGGACGUGGGUCCUUUCGUGAACAGAUGUCAACGGGGUGGAGAAUGGUGAACGACUUCUGACCCCAUGUGACGUAUUCACCUACUUUGCAUACUUUUAGAAAACUUUUUUUUAUUCUGCCUGUCAUGUGCAGCAAACAGUGAACUUGAUCCCCCCACAUUCUAAUGACACACUACAUGCUUUUGUUUUUAUUUUUAUUUUUCAGAGGACGCUCUGACCCAACACUCAGCCUUACAGGAAGCCCUGCUUCCCUGUGGCUCACACACAGACAUGAUGUAGGUUUGUUCAGAGGAUGUGAACCAGUGGUCAUCACACCUAAAUCUGACCACAGACCAUGUAAACAACAACACCCUCUUAAAGGAAGCCAUAGAUGGUGUUACUGCAGACACCACUAAGCUACAGAAACAUUGGAUGCUACAGGCCACAAAGAGCCUGUCUAAAUUACAGUUUGUUCAGACAAAGGUUAUUUUCUGGGUCAUUGUAAUUACAGCUGAUGGCAAAUCCA